GUCUAUUAGUCCUGGGGAAAGGCAGUGGACAAGAUCUUCAAGGCUUUAAGAGCAGCUACCUGUAUUGCAUGCAUGUCUCUCCUAGCUCGAUAAGGCUCUCUGAGAGACAACACAAGACGGGAACCAAGUAGUGGUGAAUACAUCUUUCAGGAAAGGCCAGCUGAUUUAAAAACAGCGUCGGCAAAGGCAUCGGAGAGUCGGAGCACUCUCCAAUCGUCGGAGGCCUCCCCAGGAGUCUGCUGAUCACUGGAGGCCUUCCAGAACAGUCGCCGAUCGUUGGAGGCUUCAGCUGAUCGUCGGAGGCCUCCCCAAGCAGAAGCUGAUCGUCGGAGGCAUUCUGGAUUGUCGGAAACCUCCCUAAGCGAACGGCCGAGCUGCGCAGCAUAGGUAGAGGCACCUGAGUGUUGGAGGCCUCCCUAGCUUUACCGCAAGCUCCCUGCAAGGCCGUUUGAGCUGCUGAGCAAUCCAGUAGCCAGCUGAUCAUCAGAGGAUUGCAGGCUGCAUCGGAGGACCCAGACAGGUCAGAUCUUUAUCUUGAUCAUUGUAGGAGCCAGGAGCUUCCAACUGGAGCAGGGCUCGCCCCUAGAGGCCUCACCUGAGCUGUUUCACAGUCUCUGAGCACCACAGUCUCCACCUCGUCCUGACUCGCCAGGCCUCACAGAGGACGUCUCAUCGGAGUUGGGAUCGGACCACUACAAUUCUUCUCGCCUGAUCCUAUCAGAUGAUAAGGUACCCCAGCACGGGCUCCUUGACCAUUCCCUUUUCAACUCCUUGCUCCUCAAGGCCUGCACCAUGGCCACGUCACAUGUCCCUUGCCCCCCGUUCUUCCUCAACACAGUGCAGAAACAGUGGGAUAACCUGGGUUCUCUUCCCAGUCUGGGAUCUACAGAGAACAACUUGUUCAGUGUGACCCCCUCCCUCGCUCCUUUUUGGAGGUCCAUCAGGUUGAUGAGCUUCUGAUGUCUCUGUUUCCCAACAAUGAUAUCCCAGGGGACAUAGCCAAAGCUCUUAAGGCUGAGGUCAAAAGGAAUGAAACGGCCCUCCCUUAGGGACACAGGGCUUUGGUAGGUCCCACUAGUGGAUUCUCCAUCCAAUCAUGCUGAAGAAGGGGCGUUAUCUUACCUGAACACCUUUUCUCAGCAUGAUGAUGAAGAAUCCACCCCCACCCCAGAUAAAGUCAGUUGGUCCUGAUUCCAAUGAGAGAAACGCAGGUGCGUGGACUAACGUCUGUACAUUGACUCAGUCUCAAACUGGGCAUGGGGACAAAGGGAGGCAUAACUUUAACUCUGACUUAGUCUGAUUGGAGCAGGAAGAUUAAGACAACCCACUAGUGGAUUCUCCAUCAUCAUGCUGAGAAAAGGCGUUCAGGUAAGACAACACCCCAUUUCUUCAGUUUGUUUGCAGAGAUGGCAUUUGCUGUUUGUUGUAUUCUCAAUAAUGGUUUUAUAUGCAUUUUCUCGUAAGGCCUGUUCUUCUGCAGCCAGAAUUAGCCUUUGUCUCUUUCUUCUACUUUCCUGCUCUUAGUCAUUGCCAGGUCUUUUUGCUAUCUAUUUUGCCUAAUAGUUGAUAUUUUUUUAAUAUAUUGGUCAUGUAAUACUUUGCCUUGCCAUGUUUCUUUUCUAUUCUUCUUUUGGUCUUUAUAGGCCAGCUUGGUCUCUUUGGUAUUCAUUAAAUCUUCAUAGUGUACUAGUUUUACUGUAUCAUCUUCACUGUCCUUGGAAAUUCUUCCAAUGUUCUUUAUACUUUUUCAACUUUGUUGUGUACUUGCAACAUUCCAUACCACUUACGUUCUUUGGUAUAAAAAGAGUGUGUCUACUUCACUGCAUGGAUGAAAAACAUGAUUUAUGUUAUUGUCAUUAUUUUUCUGGUCUUCCUAUUCAGGGCUUUUAGCUCUAAUUGAGUCCAGUCUAUUCUAACCUAAAUAUUGGAAUUGGCAAGGUAUUAUUUGCCAGGAUGGUAUUUCCACCACUGGUUAUUAUUAUAAUUAUUUCAUAUUCCACUUUCAUCCAGAAUGACAAGAUUACCUAUUAUAGCAAUCACACAUCAAACCAAUUAAAUAAAAAAGAACAUUGCUGUAAUAUCAUUCUUCUCCCCAUCCCAGAAUAAAAUUUGAAACAGAAUCUCCAAGACCCUGGGUGAUAUUUAAACUAUGAAACAUUUUUUUUUGCUCUUUAAAAGUAUUGAUAAAUCAAUGUAUAGGUAGUUUAAAAGACAAAGCAAAAGGAGAUUAUCUGUCCUAUUUAUGGUCCCUUGAAGAAGUGUUCUUUUCAGAACCAUGAUGAUGCAUUUCGUAGAAUUCUACCAAGAGCCCAAAAGAGAAGAAAAUCUGUGCUCAUCACUGAGAAGCAAUGAUUAAUGGUGAUUAUGGUGAUUAAAGAUGAACAAUAGGUCCUGGAUAUUUUUGGUUUUCUCAGCCCACUCCCAACUCUUCAACAGAUGACAAGUGCAAUACACAGCUGCAGGAUUAUUCAGAUUCCUUCUUUUUGCAGUUUUAGGAGUUAAGCAGCUAUAAACCUCCUUAUAUUUAUGGAUGUUCCAUCUCUUCUUUCUCUCUCCUUUUAAGCAGGUAUUAUAUCCUUGAAUAUUAAUUUAGCAAUGGCAGAUUCUGUAACUUUGAAUCUAUUUUUCUUCUCCCACUCACUGAAUUUUAAAAUAUACUCUUGUUUCAACAUUUUAAACAGCAGAGGAAUUACUACUAAAUUCAUUAAUUGCUUUUUUUGUAUAGAUCAAAUUGAGGAGAACAUCUGGAAGUGCAAACUUAAUGCCUGGUCAUAGUAAAAAAAACUAGAAGUGAGCCAAUAAGCUGAGUCUAUACAAUGAUUUAAACAUUAAUAUGAUUUGAUUAAUUUUUGUCUUAUGAAGCCAGUUAAUCAUGUUUCCAAGCAAAGUUGAACCAAUUUAGCAUUAUGUGUGACACACAUUGUUAUGGCUUAUUCAGAGGAACCAAUGCAAAAUGAACUAGGCAAACCUAAUCAAUAAACACGUAAUUGUUCAGCCUAAAUUGUCUUACUCAAGAGUUGCAGUUGUCUAAAAGACUACAUUUUCAUUAUUUGGGUACAUCUUGUGGUAAAUUUGGAAAUACAGCAAUGUAGAAUGAAGUGAUUUUACUAUUGGAAAAAUUGAAUGUUAUGAUCUUAUUACACUUAAUUUGUGUCAUUACCUGAUCUGUUUUCAAGCCUAGGUAGGUAGGUAGGUAUGUAAGUAGGUAGACAGAUAGACAGACAGACAGAUAGAUGCUCAUAUCAUCAUAGAGAUCUUGCAUACUCUAAAAUAUUUUAAAUACUACAUAAUUCUAUUAUUGUCUCCUUUUCACCAUUUGUACCUAUGUGUACAUUAAGUUCUUCAAUACGUGGUAUCUUAGAGAAGCCCUGCCUUUGAAAGACUAAAUGUUGGUGUCUAAUAAAUAUUCUUUUAUUUUUCUGAGUAUUCAAAUGCAAUUAUAAUUCUGCUGUAAUAAUUGUGUGAAUCUUAUUGAUAUAAAAUAUACAUAUGUGGUGCGUAUAUGUUCCAAUAAGAGCCAUACAAUUCUAAACAUAUAUAUAUGCACACACAUGUAAUUUUUUAUUCAUUUUUAUUCAUUGUUUUGGAUACAGGAGAAUAUAUACAAAAAGAAGUAAAAUAUUACAAAAUGUUAUAGAUAUUAUAAAAGAAGAAUAAAAAAACAAAGUAAAAGGUAACAAUCAUGUUCAUUAUAUCCUUUUGUAAAAAAGGAGGAGCCUGUUUCAGGUACUGAUUCCAUGGAGACUAGAUAUUCAGUGACAUCACCACUAUGAUGUAUUAAGGCUUGCACAUACAGUGGUAUUAUUUGAAGACUCUGUUUCCAUACAACAACUAUGUUUCUGUUGUUCACUCUCAUACGUCCUCAUUUAUUCUUGAUUUUUUUUUUUGCUUCUUCCCUUAUUAUCAAAUAUAUUGGUUGCUAGGGCCAUAAGUAGCUAUAAGGUAAAUAGGUUGGUUGAAUUAAUGGUUGCUGUCACUGUAUAAUAAUAGCUACUAUGAACAGCUCCAAAAAGAGUAUCUGGGCCUGUCUCUCAGGAAAUAGUUCUCUCGUUCUUAUAUACAGAGAGAGAGAGAGAGAGAGAGAGAGAGAGAGAAAAUACUUCUUAGUCACAGGGGUUAAAAAUUAAACAGAUGGACUCAAAAAGAUAGGAUAAUUAAGAUGCACGAUAAGGAAACACCCUCUAGUUACAACCAAUAGUUUUUUUCUCGGAGACUUGCUAUUUUUUUUCUUCCUGUAAAGGUUUCACUUUCCAGUCAGAUUUGUAGCCCUGGAAUUACCUGGCUAUUUCCAAUAUUUAUGCACUUUUUAAAACAAUCAACAAGAUCUGGACAGGAAUACAUAAACUUGUACUACCGUGUUUCUCAAAAGUAGGACCUACCCCCAAAAUAAGCCCUACCUUGAUUUUGGGAGGUGGGCACAUACCUAAAAAUCAAGCUUGGGUGGGGGUGGGGGGUGAAGUUUACCAUUGCAGCCAGGCCUCCCAUGACUCGACAUUUGCCUCACCUUGCUGACCCACUUCUUCUGCAGCCAAAAGAGCAGCUUCAUUCUGCAGCUGACAAUGGAGCUCUGGCCUGCAUUUCACUGUCAGAAGUCUUUUUGGAAGACCUCUGCAGUCGAAAACCAAGCUAUGAUAGUAGUACGGUAGUACAAGUAUAUGCAUUCCUGUCCAGAUUGAAUCCAUAGCUUGGUUCUCGGCUGUAGAGACCUUCCAGAAAGACCUCCGACAGUGAAAUGCAGGCCAGAACUUCAUUGUCAGCUGCAGAAUGCUGCUCCUUCAGCUGCAGAAGAAGUGGACCGGCUGGACGGGGCUGUCAGUGUUGCUGCUGUGAGCUCCAGACUGUGUUGUCUCUUAUCUCCCCCACUCCAUUGGAACAUGCUUCCUCUUCCCUGGAAAUCUACUGCAGUUCAUCACAUCAUCUUCCCCUUUAUAGAUGUGUUCCAUAACAGUUAGCAAAAGGCACCUGUUAUGAUAUCAGUUCUGUCAAAACUAGCUGAAUCAUUUGCACAAAAUAUAUGAAACAUCUGUGCUUGGGAGAAAUGGAAUAGAAUCUUUAGCUUCAGCUUUAAGGUUCAUGCUUGUAUGAUUGAACUUGCUCCCUUCAGAAAGUGGGUGGGCUUUUUUGUACAAGAGAGAGAAACCAGCCAGAGAUGAAAGGCAAAGGAGAGGGGCUAGCAGACCCUACUUAGCUUCUAAACUCUAAAGCAGUGUUUCUCAACCUUGACAAUUUUAAGGCACGUGGACUUCAACUCCCAGAAUUCCACAGCCAGCAAUGCUGGCUGUGGAAUUCUGGGAGUUGAAGUCCACAUGCCGUAAAAUUGUCAAGGUUGAGAAACACUGCUCUAAAGGAACUUCUGGGAUAAGGAGAAGGGUGUUGAGUUAAGAUACUUAACAAACUUUGCAUGCUGCAUCACACAGCUUCCUUAGAAAGAUAGUGUUGGAUAUUGGUGGAAGAAUGGGAAAAUAUGUAGCUGAACUCACUGAAAUUUAUGUGAUGUUGUGAUUUAAAAAUAAACUUUUAUAAAAUGAUAAACUGUUGGUACAUGCCUCCAGAAAAAUUAUCUAGAAUUAUAAAGUUAUUUCAAAUGUAUAUAGGAAAUAUGGAAACUAGGAAGGCUGUUUCGAUCAUGACUGGUGGAUACAAAAAAGCCAAAAAACGUUGGGUUCAAAUACAAUCAAACAAAGAAUUUUAAACAUGUAAUUGAAAUAGUAAAUAUUCUUGUUGGAACUAAUUGAUAGAUAAAUAGAAAACAGUUGUGGAAGACUGCUUUGUAUAAGGUCACUGCUACAAUUAUUGUAUGCACAAAAAUGGAAAGAAUAAAAUACCUACAAUGGAGGAAUGUCUGUUGAAGAUGACAGAAUUAGCAGAGAUAGAAAAAUUGAGUUGUUUGUUUAGAAAAGGAUAAUUUUAUUUAUUUAUUUAUUUAUGGGUUGUUGUUUUUUAUAUCCUACCUUUAUAUCCUCCUCCUCCAUUUUCAAUCAUUAUAAUGUUUGGCCUUUGGUCAGUUGUUAUUACCAAUAUAUUUUUAAGAAUAAGAAUAAUAUUUGUGGAUGAAAAUAUUGUGUCAUUAGGUGACAGAUGAACAAGAUUUAAAAAAAAAAUCUCCUCAUGGCAGGUAUAAUUUGUCUGAAACCACCAUUUAAAGUGAUCUAUUCAAAAUAGGGAAUAGUGAGUUUCUGUCUCCCAUUAGCACACUUACUCUGUACUUUACUGUAUACGUUUCGGAGAUCCUGAUGAGCACAAUAAAAGUUCUUAUUUGCAUGCAAAGUGCCAUGCAUGAGGGAUUUCUCUAUCCCUUUUAUGCAUAAGAGAAAGUGAUUGACUCACUUUUCCAAACAUUGUUUAAGAAACUUUCCUCCUCCCCAGUUUAUUCAACAGCUCUUGCCAGGUGCUGAGACCCCGUCCCUCCCCAAAGAACUGUUGUGCAUCUGGACUAUGCUGUAAUGGUGACUCAAAAUUUCUAUUGACAGAGCAGAUGAAAAGAUCAAUUUUGCUAGUGCUUUCCAAAGCAUGAGAUCAUGGCUUCUUAGUAAUUUGAAUUAUGAAUUUUAUUAUCUUCUCUAGGUUCUUAAUUGCACAACUAAUGCACUUAGGUUUUUGUAAAAAUAUACAAAGCUUUCAAUACAUGUACUCAAUUAGGCUUGGAAACAUUACGACUUCAGAAAACGCUACCAUCCUUUUUACCCAUGGAAUUAACAAAUUGACAGUUUGAUUCAAGCUUGCAAUUCUUUAAUGCUGGCUCCUCUCACUUUAGAAAGUACAUUUGAGAGUUAUCAUUUGAGAAUGAAGCAUUAUGAAUGGCCUAUGCUUCUAGCAUACAGUACCUAUAUGAAGAACAGAUAAAUUAACUUUACAUUAUUGUUCUUGGCAUGUCUCAUGCCUUCAAAGACUUAUGCAACAAUUUAUCAAAGGGGAUGAAAUAUUAACCUGGCCAAACCAUGGCAUCUAUGAAAAUGAAGUGUGUAUUUUUUCACCUAAAAUAUGGAUUGUACAUUAAGCUGUACAUUAGGCCUGCCAUAAACAAAUGACCUUAGUAUCCCAUCAUCUUACAUAAUGUAUCUCUGUUAUGCAAAUACUGAGAAAUUACACUGGCAGAAGAAAUAUGAACCAAUUUGUUCCAUUGGCAUACUUAGAUAAUCAUGUAUUUUAACUGAGAUGCUGACCUAUUUUGUAAAGUUGUCAUUACAUUUGGAAUGUAAUUUGGAAAAACAUCACUUUGCCCCCCCCCUUCUUUUUUUUAAAUGCUCAUUUACAGGAACACAAAUUGAUUAAGCUGCAGGUCCAAUGGACCCUGAAAGAAAUGAAUUGUCUGGACCCAUUUCAAUUCAGUUACCAUAUAUAGCAUGGGUAACACUGACCAUGCUUAACUUGGCUAGAGAUAUUGGAACCAUCCUCAUCCCAAUGACCUUCUGAGGCCUCUCUGAGGAUUAAGAGUAGGAAGCAAUAUUUUUCAGUGGUUCUCCUCUUUUCUGAAGAGACAGUUUCAGUCAGCAGAGUAGGAGAGAAAAUAAGAUCUAGUAGAAUAGACUCUUUAUAUGUCUUCUUGAGCUGCCCAGGGUGAAUAGAUGAAUAAAUUAAAGAUUGCCAUGUUUGGAGGCCACAGAAGCAUAUAUUUUCCUUUGGUAUUCCUCGUAUUAUGGAAUAGAAACCCCAUCUAUGAUAUUCAGCCAUAUUUUAAUCAUAAGAUACAAAUGUUCUCCUUAUCAGAAGCACUUAAGCAAUCAAACUUUCCCAAAUUUCAUUUUCUCAGGAGUUAUAGGUCCCAGAUUUCGGACCCAUUCUAUAAGUUAGCCAAUUUAAGGCAUCUUGGUUUAAAAAAUGUUGCCUUAUGAUGCACCAUUUCACCCAGGUAAAGGUUAUGGCAACUGGAGUUUUAGUAAUAUAUAUUUAAUAGAUUAAUAUUGUUCUUUUGAAACUGUUAUUAUAACUUUUGUAGCCAUCUUGCAAACAGUAUUUAUAACAAUUCACAGUGAUGUCAAACUGAUGUCCUUUAUGUUAUGGCAUCAUUGGGCAAAUGCUAGGAUUGUGUAUUUGUGAUCAUUAAUGGAAAUAUGUUAUGUCACAUCAUUUGCAUUUAGCUGUAACAAUGCUUGAGUCACUAUUUAUCUGCUUCUCCUCCUUCAAAUAUUCAUGUUGACUUGCCAAAUUUGAAAAAAAAAACUUUAAUUCUU